rnacentral:tRNA from 1 species
GGAGAUGUAGCUCAGUUAGUCGAGUGUUUGCCUAACAUGCAAGAAGUCCUGGGUUCCAAUCCCAACACAUCAU